rnacentral:rRNA from 1 species
GACGAACGCUGGCGGCGUGCCUAAUACAUGCAAGUCGAGCGAAUCUUUGGGAGCUUGCUCCCAAAAGUUAGCGGCGGACGGGUGAGUAACACGUGGGCAACCUGCCUAUAAGACUGGGAUAACUUCGGGAAACCAGAGCUAAUACCGGAUAAUUCUCUUCUACACAUGUAGGAAAGCUGAAAGACGGUUUCGGCUGUCACUUAUAGAUGGGCCCGCGGCGCAUUAGCUAGUUGGUGAGGUAACGGCUCACCAAGGCAACGAUGCGUAGCCGACCUGAGAGGGUGAUCGGCCACACUGGGACUGAGACACGGCCCAGACUCCUACGGGAGGCAGCAGUAGGGAAUCUUCCGCAAUGGACGAAAGUCUGACGGAGCAACGCCGCGUGAGUGAUGAAGGUUUUCGGAUCGUAAAACUCUGUUGUUAGGGAAGAACAAGUACUAGAGUAACUGCUAGUACCUUGACGGUACCUAACCAGAAAGCCACGGCUAACUACGUGCCAGCCGCCGCGGUAACAC